rnacentral:rRNA from 1 species
GUAGCGCGUAUCCGACCUGCCCAUCACUUGGGGAUAACCCUGCGAAAGUAAGACUAAUACCCAAUGAUAUCUCUAGAAGACAUCUGAAAGAGAUUAAAGAUUUAUCGGUGAUGGAUGGGGAUGCGUCUGAUUAGCUUGUUGGCGGGGUAACGGCCCACCAAGGCGACGAUCAGUAGGGGUUCUGAGAGGAAGGUCCCCCACAUUGGAACUGAGACACGGUCCAAACUCCUACGGGAGGCAGCAGUGAGGAAUAUUGGUCAAUGGGCGAGAGCCUGAACCAGCCAAGUAGCGUGCAGGAUGACGGCCCUAUGGGUUGUAAACUGCUUUUAUAAGGGAAUAAAGUGAGAGUCGUGACUCUUUUUGCAUGUACCUUAUGAAUAAGGACCGGCUAAUUCCGUGCCAGCAGCCGCGGUAAUACGGAAGGUCCGGGCGUUAUCCGGAUUUAUUGGGUUUAAAGGGAGCGUAGGCCGGAGAUUAAGCGUGUUGUGAAAUGUAGAUGCUCAACAUCUGCACUGCAGCGCGAACUGGUUUCCUUGAGUACGCACAAAGUGGGCGGAAUUCGUGGUGUAGCGGUGAAAUGCUUAGAUAUCACGAAGAACUCCGAUUGCGAAGGCAGCUCACUGGAGCGCAACUGACGCUGAAGCUCGAAAGUGCGGGUAUAGAACAGGAUUAGAUACCCUGGUAGUCCGC